rnacentral:rRNA from 1 species
UACGUAGGUCGCAAGCGUUGUCCGGAUUCAUUGGGUUAAAGGGUACGUAGGCGGUUUGAUAAGUCAGUGGUGAAAUUCGGCAGCUUAACUGUCGGCGUGCCAUUGAUACUGUCAAACUUGAAUCGAAUAGAGGUUGGCGGAAUUGGUAGUGUAGCGGUGAAAUGCAUAGAUACUACCAAGAACACAGAAAGCGAAGGCAGCUAACUGGAUUUGUAUUGACGCUGAGGUACGAGAGCAUGGGGAUCAAACAGG